AUGAUGAUUCAUGCUUCUUUUUACAGAAGUAACACCAAUUACAAUUUCUGUGGAAAUAUUCAAAGUCCAUCUCAACUGUCUAUCUCCCUAAUUUUGGUGCUAUCAGAAAAGAAAGGAGAAUUGACAAGGAUGGUUGUACUGCUCGUCACUUAUACACAAAGUUGGCACAAUGGAUCCUAGCUUCAGUGUGAGCCAACAGCAACACACUAGCCUAUGAGAAAGAGGACGCAUGGAAACGAGGCAGCAAGUGACAUUCUUGAGCACCUGUAAGCACUGGGUAAUCUGCAAGGUGAUUCACCAACGUUAUCUUCCCUCCAUCAUGAUAAUAAAGGUUUGCAGUAGCGACCUGAAUCUCUCCAGGAUAAAAUUGCAAGAAAAUGCACUGGCUCCAAGAACCUUGUGAAAAGUCGCCUAGAAACUCAUUGGUAUGGAAAGGACGGAUAUUGAACGCCUUGAAAGCAGCGGCUUCGUGGAAUCCCAGAGGAUUUAAAUGCAUAAACAUGAGCCUUCUGAUGUUUGGGAACCAUUGCAGCCCAUAUAAAUAAAUCAUCUGCAAAACAGUAACUUGAAAAAAAUACAAAAGGAGAUAGGAAAAUG
rnacentral:lncRNA from 1 species